rnacentral:rRNA from 1 species
UACGUAGGUGGCAAGCGUUGUCCGGAAUUAUUGGGCGUAAAGCGCGCGCAGGCGGUUCCUUAAGUCUGAUGUGAAAGCCCACGGCUCAACCGUGGAGGGUCAUUGGAAACUGGGGAACUUGAGUGCAGGAGAGAAGAGUGGAAUUCCACGUGUAGCGGUGAAAUGCGUAGAGAUGUGGAGGAACACCAGUGGCGAAGGCGGCUUUCUGGUCUGUAACUGACGCUGAGGCGCGAAAGCGUGGGGAGCAAACAGG